CCAAUAGCGUAUAUUAAAGUUGUUGCAGUUAAAAAGCUCGUAGUUGAACUUCGGGGUUCACCCAUUGGUCAGGCUUAAUUGUCUGCACUGGUGAGAUGAGUCUCUACCUUCUGAGGAACUUUCAUGCCAUUUAUUUGGUGUGAUUGGAAAUCAGAACUGUUACUUUGAAAAAAUUAGAGUGUUUAAAGCAGGCUAACGUCUGAAUACAUUAGCAUGGAAUAAUGAAAUAGGACGGACUGAUUCUAUUUCGUUGGUUUCUAGGAUCACCGUAAUGAUUAAUAGGGAUAGUUGGGGGCAUUAGUAUUCAAUUGUCAGAGGUGAAAUUCUUGGAUUUAUUGAAGACUAACUACUGCGAAAGCAUUUGCCAAGGAUGUUUUCAUUAAUCAAGAACGAAAGUUAGGGGAUCGAAGACGAUCAGAUACCGUCGUAGUCUUAACCAUAAACUAUGCCGACUAGGGAUCGGACGAAGUUAAUUUUAUAAUGACGCGUUCGGCACCUUACG
rnacentral:rRNA from 1 species